rnacentral:rRNA from 1 species
GACGAACGUUGGCGGCGUGCUUAACACAUGCAAGUCGAACGGAAAGGCCCUGCUUUUGUGGGGUGCUCGAGUGGCGAACGGGUGAGUAACACGUGAGUAACCUGCCCUUGACUUUGGGAUAACUUCAGGAAACUGGGGCUAAUACCGGAUAGGAGCUCCUGCUGCAUGGUGGGGGUUGGAAAGUUUCGGCGGUUGGGGAUGGACUCGCGGCUUAUCAGCUUGUUGGUGGGGUAGUGGCUUACCAAGGCUUUGACGGGUAGCCGGCCUGAGAGGGUGACCGGCCACAUUGGGACUGAGAUACGGCCCAGACUCCUACGGGAGGCAGCAGUGGGGAAUAUUGCACAAUGGGCGGAAGCCUGAUGCAGCAACGCCGCGUGCGGGAUGACGGCCUUCGGGUUGUAAACCGCUUUCGCCUGUGACGAAGCGUGAGUGACGGUAAUGGGUAAAGAAGCACCGGCUAACUACGUGCCAGCAGCCGCGGUGAUACGUAGGGUGCGAGCGUUGUCCGGAUUUAUUGGGCGUAAAGGGCUCGUAGGUGGUUGAUCGCGUCGGAAGUGUAAUCUUGGGGCUUAACCCUGAGCGUGCUUUCGAUACGGGUUGACUUGAGGAAGGUAGGGGAGAAUGGAAUUCCUGGUGGAGCGGUGGAAUGCGCAGAUAUCAGGAGGAACACCAGUGGCGAAGGCGGUUCUCUGGGCCUUUCCUGACGCUGAGGAGCGAAAGCGUGGGGAGCGAACAGGCUUAGAUACCCUGGUAGUCCACGCUGUAAACGGUGGGUACUAGGUGUGGGGUCCAUUCCACGGGUUCCGUGCCGUAGCUAACGCUUUAAGUACCCCGCCUGGGGAGUACGGCCGCAAGGCUAAAACUCAAAGGAAUUGACGGGGCCCCGCACAAGCGGCGGAGCAUGCGGAUUAAUUCGAUGCAACGCGUAGAACCUUACCUGGGUUUGACAUGGAUCGGGAGCGCUCAGAGAUGGGUGUGCCUCUUUUGGGGUCGGUUCACAGGUGGUGCAUGGCUGUCGUCAGCUCGUGUCGUGAGAUGUUGGGUUAAGUCCCGCAACGAGCGCAACCCUUGUUCACUGUUGCCAGCACGUUAUGGUGGGGACUCAGUGGAGACCGCCGGGGUCAACUCGGAGGAAGGUGGGGAUGACGUCAAGUCAUCAUGCCCCUUAUGUCCAGGGCUUCACGCAUGCUACAAUGGCUGGUACAGAGAGUGGCGAGCCUGUGAGGGUGAGCAAAUCUCGGAAAGCCGGUCUCAGUUCGGAUUGGGGUCUGCAACUCGACCUCAUGAAGUCGGAGUCGCUAGUAAUCGCAGAUCAGCAACGCUGCGGUGAAUACGUUCCCGGG